GGCCUCAAUCUCCCAGCUUGCCUGCAUCUAUUUGGUCUUCAUUCUGUAUGAGGAUGAAGUGACUGUCAGGGAGGAUAAGAUCAAUGACCUCAUUAAAGCAGCUGGUGUAAAUGUUAAAUUUUUUUGGCCUGGCUUGUUUGCAAAGGCCCUGGUCAAUGUCUGCAUCAGGAGCCUCAUCUGCACUGAAGGGGCCAGUGGACCUGCUCCAGCAGCUGGUGCUGCACCAGCAGGAGGUCCUGCCCCCUCCACCACCACUGCCUCAACGAAGGAGAAUAAAGCAGAAGCAAAUAAAGAAUCUGAGGAGUAUGUUGAGGACAAGAGCUUUGGUCUUUUACGACAUGUUCAAUAAA
rnacentral:lncRNA from 1 species